GUGCUCACUUUGGUCUCACAUAUACUAAAACUAGAUGGUAUGAAAAAAAUUAGCAUGGCCCUUGUGCAAGGAUGACAUGCAAUUUAUGUAGCAUUCUAUAUAUUUUU